ensembl:lncRNA
AGGGAGGGAGGGAGGUAGGAAGGGAGGGAGGGAGGAAAAACAAUGAAGGAGAAGGGAAGGGAAGAUACUGUAUUUGGAGAACAAGAUGAGCGACGGCAGGAGAUUAACGUGGUGAAGUGUUGAUCAGUUGAUUGAGAGAAUAAUACAAGGAAAAGCAAGAAAGAAGACAUCUAUGCUUUUAGUCUGGAGUCUUAACUCAGUCCUAAACUACAUCUAUGCUUUUAGUCUGGAGUCUUAACUCAGUCCUAAACUACAUCUAUGCUUUUAGUCUGGAGUCUUAACUCAGUCCUAAACUACAUCUAUGCUUUUAGUCUGGAGUCUUAACUCAGUCCUAAACUACAAUACUUAACUACAUCUAUGCUUUUAGUCUGGAGUCUUAACUCAGUCCUAAACUACAAUACUUAACUACAUCUAUGCUUUUAGUCUGGAGUCUUAACUCAGUCCUAAACUACAAUACUUAACUACAUCUAUGCUUUUAGUCUGGAGUCUUAACUCAGUCCUAAACUACAAUACUUAACUACAUCUAUGCUUUUAGUCUGGAGUCUUAACUCAGUCCUAAACUACAUCUAUGCUUUUAGUCUGGAGUCUUAACUCAGUCCUAAACUACAAUUACUUAACUACAUCUAUGCUUUUAGUCUGGAGUCUUAACUCAGUCCUAAACUACAAUACUUAACUACAUCUAUGCUUUUAGUCUGGAGUCUUAACCCUGUCCUAAACUACAAUACUUAACUACAUCUAUGCUUUUAGUCUGGAGUCUUAACCCUGUCCUAAACUACAAUACUUAACUACAUCUAUGCUUUUAGUCUGGAGUCUUAACCCUGUCCUAAACUACAACUCUCACCUUAAAAACUACAGUACUUAACUAUCAGGAGGAAGCGAGGGUACAUUGCUACAAUAUAAUCUUGGUUAUCAUUUUGGAAUAUUAUCAGUAAAAAUGUAUGUUGCUUUCAAUAUGGUUCUAAUUUAAAGCACUUUUGUUGUAAUGUGUAUUUGAGUGUGUGUUUUGAGUGUGUGUUUUGAGUGUGUGUUUUGAGUGUGUGUGAGCGUAUUGAAAAUAAUAAGCUUGGUACGAAAACCAAUAGAGAAAACCAAUAGAAAACCAAUAGAGAAAACCAAUAGAAAACCAAUAGAGAAAACCAAUAGAGAAAACCAAUAGAGAAAACCAAUAGAAAACCAAUAGAAAACCAAUAGAGAAAACCAAUGGAGAAAACCAAUAGAAAACCAAUAGAGAAAACCCAUAGAGAAAACCAAUAGAAAACCAAUAGAAAACCAAUAGAGAAAACCAAUAGAAAACCAAUAGAGAAAACCAAUAGAGAAAACCAAUAGAAAACCAAUAGAGAAAACCAAUAGCAAACCAAUAGAAAACCAAUACAGAAAACCAAUAGAAAACCAAUAGAGAAAACCAAUAGAAAACCAAUAGAGAAAACCAAUAGAAAACCAAUAGAGAAAACCAAUAGAAAACCAAUAGAGAAAACCAAUAGAAAACCAAUAGAGAAAACCAAUAGAGAAAACCAAUAGAAAACCAAUAGAGAAAACCAAUAGAAAACCAAUAGAGAAAACCAAUAGAAAACCAAUAGAAAACCAAUAGAAAACCAAUAGAGAAAACCAAUAGAAAACCAAUAGAGAAAACCAAUAGAGAAAACCAAUAGAAAACCAAUAGAAAACCAAUAGAGAAAACCAAUAGAAAACCAAUAGAGAAAACCAAUAGAGAAAACCAAUAGAAAACCAAUAGAAAACCAAUAGAGAAAACCAAUAGAAAACCAAGAGAAAACCAAUAGAAAAACCAAUAGAAAACCAAUAGAGAAAACCAAUAGAGAAAACCAAUAGAAAACCAAUAGAGAAAACCAAUAGAGAAAACCAAUAGAGAAAACCAAUAGAAAACCAAUAGAGAAAACCAAUAGAGAAAACCAAUAGAGAAAACCAAUAGAAAACCAAUAGAGAAAACCAAUAGAGAAAACCAAUAGAAAACCAAUAGAGAAAACCAAUAGAUGCUUCACACAUAUUGUAACAAUUAGCGUUGCCAAAGUCUGCAUUAUGUACGCGUCAAGAGUUUUCUUUUGUACUUGGCACUUUAUCUCCUUCUGACGCUCUUAUCCAUAUUUAACUCCUGUGUUACUUUCUCCAUUUUUUUUGUUAUUUUAAUAUACAAAACAGCUAUACAAAAUGAUCUUCUAAUGAGUAUUAUAACAGUAACUAUGUCAGGAAAUUGAAGCGUUUUCAUUUUGUAUUUUCUUUUGUAAUUUUGUGUUUGUUUUUUUAUCGUUGUUGUUAUUGAUGGUCACUCUACUUCCUGGAGAGAGAAAAAAAAAUCCUCCCCACAAACUUCCUGUUUCCUGUGGGCAUAUCUCAGGGACCCCACCCCUUCCCCCCCCAAAAAAAAACCAGGAAGUUGGCCUUAUUUGUUUGUUCUCUUCUGUUUGUUGUUGUUGAAAGGUCAGUGAGAAGUGUCAUAGUAGUGCUUUUAGAAGCGUUGUAAUGAUUCUCUGAUGUUCCAUCCAGACCAAAGUAUAUAUUAUAUUCAUCUCCCGUUAAUAGAACACAGCCCACACGCUAGAACACUCUAGAACCAACCAUUCCAAGCCAUGUUCCCUUUUCCAAGCCCACAAAGACAUUUUGGAUGUACAUUUUACUCCAAGCCUGUUGGUGGCAGUCUCCACAAGAUUGGUGGUCCUGUCCAUAAACUUCCCACAACAAUGUAACGUUCAGUUACAAAGUUAUAUCAAAACCCUGUUUUCUAAUCAGUCAGUUUGUAUGUAGCUACUUCUUGAGUUAUAUCAUUCUCAGUUUUGUUGAUGUGCUGCAGAGUUGUUGGUUUUUACGGUCGUUAAGCACUGGCGUUCCGGUUUCACACCUUCUUUUAGUGUCCUCCAUCCCCUAGACAACACACCUGACAGUUCCCAUAGCAACUCUCAGUUCACAAUUCAAGCGCUACAAAGAAGUUCUUAAAUCCAAAGAAAACAAUGAAGAGCAGGUUCUCCCAUUUCUCCUGAGUAUAUAUAUAUAUAUAUAUCGGCCCGGUUUUUACUGUGUGUAACUACAUCGUGCCAAAGCUAGUCCCUUCUGCAUGUUUAGUAUUUUGUCUUGGUGUAACACGUACUUUGUCCUACAUUUGCAUGUUGAAACAAAAGUGUUGUGGUCUGUUUUGUAUCGUUGUAUUGUAUCAUGCGCCUGUAGCAUUUCUCCUGCUUUUGCACUUGACAAAGUCGAAUAAAGAGUUUGACAGCUAUGAGAGCAGGUA